UAUUGUGGGUAACACUGCUCUCACAGGGGUGGUGGGAGUACUCAUGGAUGACUCGGAUCACCCCCAAGGUAAAUAUAUAUUGUGUAACUCGCAGAUUUAUUCAUUGUACAGGUCAUACUAUAAGUGGCCACUGGCAUUUGUUUUGUAUUCAUGUUCCGGGGUUGGGCAGCGCAUACCGGAAGUGGUAUAAACACGGCAACUGUCAUUGAUUGAAACCAGGAGUUUGUGUGCGCAUGGAAAGUUUCAGAUGAGACGUGAGCAGAACGGAGGUGUACCUGUUGCCCGUCAAGAAUUUGCACCCUUGGCAGGCGAAGCGAGGUAUCGUUUGCUACGUUUUUACUGAACAUUCAUACUUCGUAUAAUCUAAAUGAAAUGCAAAAUUGUAUUUAUAUGCUCUGCUCGUUCGAUCCUAUUUGUUAUAAUAAAUGAAAUUGUUUGUA